GCCUCUGAUAAAAUCACCCAGAAUGCAUCCGGUCUGAUCAGAUCUCGGGAAGCUAAGUAGGUUGAGCCUGACCAGUUCUCGGAUGGGCGUCUGCCAUGCUAUAUCAGGUGUUAUAGGCG
rnacentral:rRNA from 1 species